rnacentral:rRNA from 1 species
GAUGAACGCUGGCGGCGUGCUUAACACAUGCAAGUCGAACGGACAGGUCCUGCUUUUGUGGGGUGCUCGAGUGCCGAACACGUGAGUAACACGUGAGUAUAAUCUACUUGUCUUUGUGAUAACUUCUGGAAACUCGGGCUCAUACACCAUAGGAUCUAUUGCUGCAUAGUGUGGGUUGGAAAGUGUCGGCGGUUGUGGAUGGACUCGCGGCUUAUCAGCUUGUUGGUCUGGUAGUGGCUUACCAAGUCUUUGACGGGUAGCCGGCCUUAGAGGGUGAACGGCGUCAAUGGGACUGAGAUACGCCCCAGACUGCUACGGGAGGCAGCAGUGGGAAAUAUGGCGGAAUGGGGGGAAGUCUGAGGCAGCAACGCCGGGAGCGUGAUGAUCUCUUUCUAGGGGUAAACCGCUGUCUCAUGUGACGAGGAGGGAGUGACGGUAAUGAGUAAAGAAGCAACGGCUAACUACGUG